GAUGAACGCUGACAGAAUGCUUAACACAUGCAAGUCGAUGGGGAAGUGGUGCUUGCCCCAUGGCAACCAUGGCGGACGGGUGAGUAAGGCGUAAGGGACUUACCUGCAGGACUGGGAUAACAGGGGGAAACUCCUGACAAGACCGGAUAAUGUCAUGGAGCUGCAUGGCUUUAUGAUGAAAGGAGACGCCUGCGGAGAGCCUUGCGUCCUAUUAGCUAGUUGGUGAGGUAAUGGCUCACCAAGGCGAAGAUAGGUAGCCGGCCUGAGAGGGUGGACGGCCACAAGGGGACUGAGAUACGGCCCUUACUCCUACGGGAGGCAGCAGUGGGGAAUAUUGGACAAUGGGGGCAACCCUGAUCCAGCAAUUCUGUGUGCACGAAGAAGGUUUUCGGAUUGUAAAGUGCUUUCAGCGGGGAAGAAGUAAGUGACGGUACCUGCAGAAGAAGCGACGGCUAAAUACGUG
rnacentral:rRNA from 1 species